rnacentral:rRNA from 1 species
AAGUCAGAUGUGAAAGCCCGGGGCUCAACCUCGGAAUUGCAUUUGAAACUGGCAAACUAGAGUACUGUAGAGGGGGUAGAAUUUCAGGUGUAGCGGUGAAAUGCGUAGAGAUCUGAAGGAAUACCGGUGGCGAAGGCGGCCCCCCUGGACAGAUACUGACACUCAGAUGCGAAAGCGUGGGGAGCAAACAGGAUUAGAUACCCUGGUAG